AGGAGGUCUUGCCUGCCCAGUGACUAGUUAAACGGCCGCGGUAUUUUGACCGUGCGAAGGUAGCGCAAUCACUUGUCUUUUAAAUGAAGACCUGUAUGAAUGGUGGAACGAGGGCUUAACUGUCUCCCCCUUCAAAUCAAUGAAAUUGAUCUGCCCGUGCAGAAGCGGGCAUGCUCAUUAUAAGACGAGAAGACCCUUUGGAGCUUAAGAUAUAAGAUCAACUAUGUCAAGAAUUACUAAACCAAAUUAAACUAAAUAACAACUGAUCCCUAUCUUCGGUUGGGGCGACUGCGGGAGAAAAUAAAGCUCCCAUGCGGACCGGGACUACCCCUAAAACUAAGAAAGACAUUUCUAAGUCACAGAAUAUCUGACCAUUAAGAUCCGGCAACCUGCCGAUCAACGAACCAAGUUACCCUAGGGAUAACAGCGCAAUCCCCUUUCAGAGUCCAUAUCGACAAGGGGGUUUACGACCUCGAUGUUGGAUCAGGACAUCCUAAUGGUGCAGCCGCUAUUAAGGGUUCGUUUGUUCAACGAUUAAAGUCCUACGUGA
rnacentral:rRNA from 1 species